AAAUUGAAGAGUUUGAUCAUGGCUCAGAUUGAACGCUGGCGGCAGGCCUAACACAUGCAAGUCGAACGGUAACAGGAAACAGCUUGCUGUUUCGCUGACGAGUGGCGGACGGGUGAGUAAUGUCUGGGAAACUGCCUGAUGGAGGGGGAUAACUACUGGAAACGGUAGCUAAUACCGCAUAACGUCGCAAGACCAAAGAGGGGGACCUUCGGGCCUCUUGCCAUCAGAUGUGCCCAGAUGGGAUUAGCUAGUAGGUGGGGUAACGGCUCACCUAGGCGACGAUCCCUAGCUGGUCUGAGAGGAUGACCAGCCACACUGGAACUGAGACACGGUCCAGACUCCUACGGGAGGCAGCAGUGGGGAAUAUUGCACAAUGGGCGCAAGCCUGAUGCAGCCAUGCCGCGUGUAUGAAGAAGGCCUUCGGGUUGUAAAGUACUUUCAGCGGGGAGGAAGGGAGUAAAGUUAAUACCUUUGCUCAUUGACGUUACCCGCAGAAGAAGCACCGGCUAACUCCGUGCCAGCAGCCGCGGUAAUACGGAGGGUGCAAGCGUUAAUCGGAAUUACUGGGCGUAAAGCGCACGCAGGCGGUUUGUUAAGUCAGAUGUGAAAUCCCCGGGCUCAACCUGGGAACUGCAUCUGAUACUGGCAAGCUUGAGUCUCGUAGAGGGGGUAGAAUUCCAGGUGUAGCGGUGAAAUGCGUAGAGAUCUGGAGGAAUACCGGUGGCGAAGGCGGCCCCCUGGACGAAGACUGACGCUCAGGUGCGAAAGCGUGGGGAGCAAACAGGAUUAGAUACCCUGGUAGUCCACGCCGUAAACGAUGUCGACUUGGAGGUUGUGCCCUUGAGGCGUGGCUUCCGGAGCUAACGCGUUAAGUCGACCGCCUGGGGAGUACGGCCGCAAGGUUAAAACUCAAAUGAAUUGACGGGGGCCCGCACAAGCGGUGGAGCAUGUGGUUUAAUUCGAUGCAACGCGAAGAACCUUACCUGGUCUUGACAUCCACGGAAGUUUUCAGAGAUGAGAAUGUGCCUUCGGGAACCGUGAGACAGGUGCUGCAUGGCUGUCGUCAGCUCGUGUUGUGAAAUGUUGGGUUAAGUCCCGCAACGAGCGCAACCCUUAUCCUUUGUUGCCAGCGGUCCGGCCGGGAACUCAAAGGAGACUGCCAGUGAUAAACUGGAGGAAGGUGGGGAUGACGUCAAGUCAUCAUGGCCCUUACGACCAGGGCUACACACGUGCUACAAUGGCGCAUACAAAGAGAAGCGACCUCGCGAGAGCAAGCGGACCUCAUAAAGUGCGUCGUAGUCCGGAUUGGAGUCUGCAACUCGACUCCAUGAAGUCGGAAUCGCUAGUAAUCGUGGAUCAGAAUGCCACGGUGAAUACGUUCCCGGGCCUUGUACACACCGCCCGUCACACCAUGGGAGUGGGUUGCAAAAGAAGUAGGUAGCUUAACCUUCGGGAGGGCGCUUACCACUUUGUGAUUCAUGACUGGGGUGAAGUCGUAACAAGGUAACCGUAGGGGAACCUGCGGUUGGAUCACCUCCUUACCUUAAAGAAGC
rnacentral:rRNA from 1 species